GACGAACGCUGGCGGCGUGCUUAACACAUGCAAGUCGAACGGUGAAAGCGGAGCUUGCUCCGCUGGAUCAGUGGCGAACGGGUGAGUAACACGUGGGCAACCUGCCCCUCACUUCGGGAUAACUCCGGGAAACCGGGGCUAAUACCGGAUACGACCUCCUUGGGCAUCCUUGGAGGUGGAAAGUUUUGCGGUGUGGGAUGGGCCCGCGGCCUAUCAGCUUGUUUGUGAGGUAGUGGCUCACCAAGGCGACGACGGGUAGCCGGCCUGAGAGGGCGACCGGCCACACUGGGACUGAGACACGGCCCAGACUCCUACGGGAGGCAGCAGUGGGGAAUAUUGCGCAAUGGGCGAAAGCCUGACGCAGCAACGCCGCGUGCGGGAUGAAGGCCUUCGGGUUGUAAACCGCUUUCAGCAGGGAAGAAGCCGCAAGGUGACGGUACCUGCAGAAGAAGCACCGGCUAACUACGUGCCAGCCGCCGCCGUAA
rnacentral:rRNA from 1 species